CAGAGUUAUCUAACUCCCAAAACCAUGUGAACUUACCUAUGUUGUCUCGGCGGGGGAGCUUACCCGGUACCUACCCUGUAGUUACCCGGGAGCGAGCUACCCUGUAGCUCGCUGCAGGCGACCCGCCGGCGGACAGUUAAACUCUUGUUUCUUGGUGGAAUCUCUGAGUGUUUAUACUUAAUAAGUUA
rnacentral:misc_RNA from 1 species